rnacentral:rRNA from 1 species
UCCGUAGGCGGGUAAUUAAGUCAGAGGUGAAAUCCCACAGCUCAACUGUGGAACUGCCUUAGAUACUGGUUAUCUUGAGUUUUAGUGAAGUAGAUAGAAUGUGUAGUGUAGCGGUGAAAUGCAUAGAUAUUACACAGAAUACCGAUUGCGAAGGCAGUCUACUAACUAACAACUGACGCUAAUGGACGAAAGCGUGGGGAGCGAACAGGAUUAGAUACCCUGGUAGUCC